GACGAACGCUGGCGGCGUGCCUAAUACAUGCAAGUCGAGCGGACGAAUCGAAAGCUUGCUUUUGAUUCGUUAGCGGCGGACGGGUGAGUAACACGUGGGCAACCUGCCCUGUAGACGGGGAUAACACCGAGAAAUCGGUGCUAAUACCGGAUAACACGAAAUGUCGCAUGACGUUUCGUUGAAAGACGGCGCAAGCUGCCGCUACAGGAUGGGCCCGCGGCGCAUUAGCUAGUUGGUGAGGUAACGGCUCACCAAGGCGACGAUACGUAGCCGACCUGAGAGGGUGAUCGGCCACACUGGGACUGAGACACGGCCCAGACUCCUACGGGAGGCAGCAGUAGGGAAUCUUCCGCAAUGGACGAAAGUCUGACGGAGCAACGCCGCGUGAGCGAAGAAGGCCUUCGGGUCGUAAAGCCCUGUUGUUAGGGAAGAACAAGUAACGCAGUAACUGGCGUUACCGUGACGGUACCUAACGAGAAAGCCACGGCUAACUACGUG
rnacentral:rRNA from 1 species